GAUGAACGCUGGCGGCGUGCUUAACACAUGCAAGUCGAACGAGAACGGAUUAUAGCUUGCUAUAAUUGUCAGCUAAGUGGCGCACGGGUGAGUAAUGUAUAGGUAAUAUGCCUCUUACUAAGGGAUAACAAAUGGAAACGUUUGCUAAUACCUUAUACUCCUUAUUAACAGAAGUUAAUAAGGGAAAGAUUUAUUGGUAAGAGAUUAGCCUGUAUUGUAUCAGUUAGUUGGUGGGGUAAUGGCUUACCAAGACUAUGACACAUAACUGGUUUGAGAGGAUGAUCAGUCACACUGGAACUGAGACACGGUCCAGACUCCUACGGGAGGCAGCAGUGGGGAAUAUUGCACAAUGGACGAAAGUCUGAUGCAGCAACGCCGCGUGGAGGAUGACACAUUUCGGUGCGUAAACUCCUUUUAUAUGAGAGGAUAAUGACGGUAUUAUAUGAAUAAGCACCGGCUAACUCCGUGCCAGCCGCCGCAGUAA
rnacentral:rRNA from 1 species